rnacentral:rRNA from 1 species
CACGAAACUGUGCGAGCUAACUAGUAACAAAUGUUAGUUAGAGUAUGUAGCAAAAUAUGAUAAGAAGAUUAGUUAGGGGUGAUAGGCCUUACAAGUACAGUGAUAUCUUGAUUUCUUCGAAAUGUUUUAAUACUUGGACAAAACAGAAGUGAUAAGAUUUUUGUUGACCAUAAAGUUAAGUUAAUUUUUGACAUUGACUUAACAGUCGGUGAAGUGAAAAAUAAAUAUGCAUAUUUUGUGUUUAUGGAAUAUAGGGGAAAGUUUUAAAACAUAAAUAAAUUUCUAAUGUUGUUAUAAGUAGUCUUAAAGUUAUUAUUAGUGAACUCGGCUAAAGGCUUUCAACUGUUUACCAAAAACAUAGCCAUAUGUGUUUACUUGUGGUAAUUUCUGCUCAAUGAGAUAUUAAAUAGCCGCAGUACCUUGACUGUGCAAAGGUAGCGUAAUCAUUUGUCUUGUAAUUUAAGUCUUGUAUGAAUGAAUAUAUGAAGGCCUACUAUACCAAUGGUAUUAUGUGAAAUUACUUAGUGAGUGCAAAUACUCAUAUGAUAUUAAUAGACGAGAAGACCCUAGAAAUUUUUAUAAAUGUUUUUGUUGGGGCAACAUAGUAGCAUGUAAUCUACUUUAUGUAUAUGAAAUAUAAUAGUUAAAAUAAAUUACUCUAGGGAUAACAGCAUAAUUUGUAAAUGUUUGUGACCUCGAUGUUGGAUUAGGAAGUUAUAACUUAG